AUGUAUUUUCCUCAAACUCACAAUAAAAAUUACUGUCCAAGUAAAUCGAGUCAAAUUAAAGAGGCCACAGGCUUUGGGCCCAUAUUUGAGGAGGAGCCCUUGGACACAGUGUAUGCGGAGGAUUCACCAGAGAACAAAAUCUCCAUGAACUGCAGAGCACAGGCCUACCCUCCGGCCAUUAUCAAGUGGUGGUUAAACAACUGGGAAAUUAAACUGAUGGAGCAACCUGAUGAGCACUUUAGCCUGGUGGGAGGAAACCUGGUCAUCACCAACCCAGACAAGAGCAAGCAUGCUGGGAAAUAUGUGUGUGUGGCUAAGAACGUGUACGGCACUGUCAUCAGCAAAGAGGCCACUGUCAAAUUUGGAUACCUAAACCAGUUCCCUACAGAUGAGAGAGAGCCGGUGCAUGUUAAGGAGGGACAAGGAGCAGUGCUGCUGUGUUCUCCUCCCUCUCGCUAUCCAAGUGAGGUGAUGUUCCGCUGGAUCUACAAUGACUUCCCAAACUUCAUCAUACCAGACCAGAGGCGUUUCGUGUCACAGACCACUGGCAAUAUGUACAUCGCUAAAGUCGAGGCAUCUGAUGUUGGGAAUUAUUCUUGUUUCGUGUCAAGCCCCACCAUCGGCAAGAGUGUUUUCAGCAUGCCGAUUUCUCUGAUUCCACAAAUAGAGAUCUGCAUGGUACUGAUGCCAUGGUACUUUCAUAUACAAAAUACAAUGGUAAAAGAUGUUGGUAGCGAACUCACUCUCAGGUGUGUUGCCGUGGGGAAGCCUUUACCAUGGAUACGCUGGCUGAAGGAUGGCUAUUCGUAUGGCAAAGGGGAGCUGAAGUUCUCCAGUCUCACGUUUGAGGAUUCGGGCAUGUAUCAGUGUAUUGCUGAGAAUGAAUGGGGGACCAUCUAUGCUAGCGCGGAGCUUCGGGUUGUCUCCUGUGCACCAACAUUCAUUUAUAAUCCAGUGAAGAAGGUUCUGCUCGGGGCUGAAAACGGUCGUGUGGUUAUAGAGUGCAAACCCAGCGCUGCUCCUAAACCCAAGUUCAUCUGGAAACGAGGCUCAGAGCUGCUGACCAACUCUUCAAGGAUGUUAAUUUGGGAUGAUGGAAGUCUGGAGAUUCUGAACGUGUCAAAAAGUGACGAGGGCUCGUACACAUGCUAUGCUGAGAAUGACCGCGGCAAAUCCAACAGCACAGGGACCCUCACUAUCACCGAGGCCACCAAAAUCACAGAGGCUCCAUCAGACACUGAGGCAGUUGUAGGUGACACUACAAUUCUCCAGUGUUCUGCAUCAUUUGAUCCCAGCCUGGACAUCACCUUUAUCUGGACUGUUGAUUCCUACGUCAUCAACUUCUACACAGACUUUGAACACUACGAGCUGCUCAUGAACAGCGGAGACCUGCUGAUCAAGAACAUCCAGGUGAGGCACGCAGGACACUAUUCCUGCACAGCUCAGACCAUAGUGGACAAUGCCACCGCAGAAGCUGAUGUUUUUGUCAAAGGUCUGCCUGGUCCUCCAGGUGGUGUCCGUGUGGAAGAGAUUGGAGACACGUCAGUAAAACUACGAUGGAGUCUGGGAUCAGACCACGGUAGUCCUUUUAUCCAACAGGUUGUACAAACACGAGACUUUUACGCCCUGGAUCCUGAGGACUGGAAAACCGCAUCCACCUCUCCUGUGUUUUUGGACGGAUCUACAGAGUCAGCCACCAUAGUUGACCUUUACCCCUGGAUGCAAUAUGAAUUCCGUGUGCAUGCAAUCAAUGAAUUUGGAGCUGGGGAAAACAGCCGUCCGUCCAUCAAAAUCAAGACAUGGGACGCCAGGCCUACAGUAGCUCCUUCUGAUGUACUGGGGCAAGUUGGAAUAAGCGGAGAGCUUAUCGUGACCUGGACUCCUGUAAAGCCUCAGUUCUUCUUUGGUAAAAAAUUUGGCUACGUCGUGGCGUUUAAGCAGCAUGAGGAUUCUGAAUGGAAGUGGACGACUGUGGAGGAUCCCGAGACUAGACGCUACGUCUACAAAGAUAGCAUGACCCCAGACACUGAGAUACAGGUCAAAGUGAAAACCUACAAUAACAAAGGAGAAGGACCCUCAAGUCUUAUAUCAGUGGUCGACUCACCAAGGCUAGCACCCACUGAAGCUCCAUUAGAUGUCUACGCCCGCCAGGUCACCGCUACAGAAGCUUUGGUCUGGUGGUUACCGAUCUACCAGAUUCGUUACUGGAGGAAGUACGAUGAUAAUGAAGCUGCUGCCUCUCGAGUUCUUGUGCAUAGAGCAAUUAACCAAACUCGCCUGGAGAACAUGCGGCCUGACUCCCACUACCUCAUAGAGGUACGAGCGUUCAACGGAGCUGGGCUCGGGCCACCCAGCGAGCAUUGUGAAAUGUUCACCAGGAGACCACCCCCAAGUCGCCAUUUGAGAGUCUACAAAUAUGUCAGCUUUAAUCGCAAAUGGCUCUAUCUAUAUUGGGAUCACAUCUAUAACUACUGGAAUGAGUCAUAUGUGGAGGGAUACAAGAUUUUGUUCAGGAAGGAAGGAGAGCGUUAUGGGAAGCUUUACACCACAGGCAGACACUACAUUGACUUUCCCAUGCCAGAGACAGGUGAUUACAUCAUAGAGGUCCGAGCCCGCUGCGAGGGAGGUGAUGGACCCAUAUCACAGAUCAGAGUGCAAGGUGAAUACUGUCUUUUACAUAUCAGUAAGGAUUUCAUUUUUUAUCAACCUCAUUCAUCAUGUUCCUACCCUAAUCAUGUUCUAAUAAUUACAAAAUGAUAUCUGAAGUUCUGCAUAGUUUAAAGUAUAUAUUCACUACAAGAACUGAAAUAAGUUUCACAUAGUCAUAGAUGCAUAGAUGCAGUUACACAAUUGUAACCUUUAUUCAUACUGAUCUUUCUUACCAUUGUUUUGUAUUAUGUUCAGGGAAAGCCGCUUUGGGUGCUGAAUCUCUCAGCGUCGCCUCUGUCUUGCUGCUGGCACUGGGAUGGAUGAAUUUAGGCCUGUAGGCAUAAACAGCUGUCAACACUUUUGGCGAAAUUCACUUCUAAGAAACAAUCUUUAUAUAUUUUGAGUGCAUUUCCUUAAAGCGGUGGUUUUCGUGGUGUAGAUGAAGUUUGUUUGGGAGUGUAGAAUAUAAAGAAUUUAUACCCUCUUGGUUUGCCUUACAAACUACAGUACCCGCAAUCAACUAAUGAAACGUAUUGUAAAAUAAAUGUGGUGGCAGGGUAUGGUGAACUUUUUUG
ensembl:lncRNA